AUCAUCCACAAGAGCAGUGCAGGUUCGCUGAGAAAAGUAGGAACUGCAGAUGCCGGAGACUCCGAGAUACUGAGAUGUAGAGCUGGGUGAAUAUAACAGGCCAAGAAGUAUCAGAGGAGCAGGAAAGCUGACGUUUUGUGACUGGCCCCUUCGCUGAGACUAAGAUACCAGCGAUCGUUGCCAAAGCCCUGUUACCUGUGGAGAAGGUGAUGUUUAACUUUCCUGUGCUGCUGCAGUUCGUAUGAUGAAGGUGCUCCCACAAUUGUGGUCAUUUGAGAAGUUACAGAUCAUUCAUCUAGCGAUACUGAAGAGCUGAUGGUGAUAUUACAAGUGGACUUUCAGGUGGGAAACUCAAUUAUUGUAACACCAAACUCUGACAGAAUUACUCAAUUCAUCAACAUCUGGAUAUUUGCAUUGUGAGCACUCGUCUGGAUUGUGUUGGAGCAUUUUCCACUUCCCUGCAUGAGUACAACCGCAACACUAUUAGAAAAAGUGAACAUCCUCCAGAUGAAGCGCUCUGUCAGAGUUGUGUCCCAUCUACCACAUUCAACAUUCCCCUCUACACCACCGAAGGAAAGUGGCAUCACUGUGCCAAAGAUUUCCACAAUUUUACUUCUGCACUGUUCUUAACCUUUUGAUCCCUCUGAAAGUCUGAGUUACAAUGCCUGCCCUUCCUCGCUGGCUCUCCCACCUCUCUUUCAGCAGUUGUGUGCAAAUACUGACUGGAUCCCUUACCUGGAGGAUAUUUAUUUGAAUUUGUUCUAAUGAUGAUCCAGCAUAUUUCCCAAGUGUCGCUCCAUAAAUGUCCAGAGGAUUUCUCGAUUUCACAAUCUGUGGUUGUUCUUCUGGUUCCUCACUCGCUGCACUUGCUUUCUGUUUGAAAGCUUAGUCUGCAAUUGGAGAAUUCAAACAGGUCCACAUCCAGGUCUGACAGUCACUUUGUUUAUCACAAACCAGUUACCUCAGGAUUUUGAACAUUGGAGGAAAAAGCAGCAUUCACACUGGGGAGAAAUGCACAUGGUCUGUAAAGAGUCUGUGAAGAUUCAUCUGAAAUGUCCGAACACCAGCGCAGUGACACUGGGGAGAGACUGGAAAUGUGCAGAUUGCAGGAACGAAUUUUUUAAUCCAUCCCAGCUAGAAACUGACCACCAGAGUCACACUGGAGAGAAACCAUUCACCUGCUCUGAUUGUGGAAUGGGAUUCACUCAGUCCUCCAGCCUGCUUAAACACCAGUGAGUUCGCACUGUAGAGAAACCAUUUACAUGCUUGAAAUGUGGGAAAGCAUUCACUCAGACAUCUCAACCGCUGAUGCACGAGCAAAUUCACACUGGAGAGAGACCGUUGGCCUGUUCUGCGUGAGGGAAAGGCUUUGCUGACUCGAAUUGCCCGCUGAUCCACCAGCGACUUCACUCUGGGGAGUGGCCAUUCAUCUGCUCCCAGUGUGGGAAGGGAUUCACUUGCUCACCUCACCGACAGAGCGUUCACACUGGGGAGAAACCAUUCACCUGCUCUAAAUGUGAGAAAGCAUUCACUUGGUCAUCCUACCUGCUUGUGUUCCAGCAGGUUCACACUGGGGAGAACCCAUUCAUGAGCUCUGAUUGGGGAAAGCAUUCACUCAGUUAUCCAAACUGUUAACACACCAGUGACUUCACAAAGAAGCACAGUUGAAUUAUUUUGCUGUCACUGUCACUAUCAAGUGAACCAUGGUUUUGGGCUGUUUGUACUGAUGUUACUGAUCACUGCUCAAUUAAAGGUACAGGUAUU